GGUGAACGCUGGCGGCGUGCCUAAUACAUGCAAGUCGAGCGAACGGACGAGAAGCUUGCUUCUCUGAUGUUAGCGGCGGACGGGUGAGUAACACGUGGAUAACCUACCUAUAAGACUGGGAUAACUUCGGGAAACCGGAGCUAAUACCGGAUAAUAUUUUGAACCGCAUGGUUCAAAAGUGAAAGACGGUCUUGCUGUCACUUAUAGAUGGAUCCGCGCUGCAUUAGCUAGUUGGUAAGGUAACGGCUUACCAAGGCAACGAUGCAUAGCCGACCUGAGAGGGUGAUCGGCCACACUGGAACUGAGACACGGUCCAGACUCCUACGGGAGGCAGCAGUAGGGAAUCUUCCGCAAUGGGCGAAAGCCUGACGGAGCAACGCCGCGUGAGUGAUGAAGGUCUUCGGAUCGCAAAACUCUGUUAUUAGGGAAGAACAUAUGUGUAAGUAACUGUGCACAUCUUGACGGUACCUAAUCAGAAAGCCACGGCUAACUACGUGCCAGCAGCCGCGGUAAUACGUAGGUGGCAAGCGUUAUCCGGAAUUAUUGGGCGUAAAGCGCGCGUAGGCGGUUUUUUAAGUCUGAUGUGAAAGCCCACGGCUCAACCGUGGAGGGUCAUUGGAAACUGGAAAACUUGAGUGCAGAAGAGGAAAGUGGAAUUCCAUGUGUAGCGGUGAAAUGCGCAGAGAUAUGGAGGAACACCAGUGGCGAAGGCGACUUUCUGGUCUGUAACUGACGCUGAUGUGCGAAAGCGUGGGGAUCAAACAGGAUUAGAUACCCUGGUAGUCCACGCCGUAAACGAUGAGUGCUAAGUGUUAGGGGGUUUCCGCCCCUUAGUGCUGCAGCUAACGCAUUAAGCACUCCGCCUGGGGAGUACGACCGCAAGGUUGAAACUCAAAGGAAUUGACGGGGACCCGCACAAGCGGUGGAGCAUGUGGUUUAAUUCGAAGCAACGCGAAGAACCUUACCAAAUCUUGACAUCCUUUGACAACUCUAGAGAUAGAGCUUUCCCCUUCGGGGGACAAAGUGACAGGUGGUGCAUGGUUGUCGUCAGCUCGUGUCGUGAGAUGUUGGGUUAAGUCCCGCAACGAGCGCAACCCUUAAGCUUAGUUGCCAUCAUUAAGUUGGGCACUCUAAGUUGACUGCCGGUGACAAACCGGAGGAAGGUGGGGAUGACGUCAAAUCAUCAUGCCCCUUAUGAUUUGGGCUACACACGUGCUACAAUGGACAAUACAAAGGGCAGCGAAACCGCGAGGUCAAGCAAAUCCCAUAAAGUUGUUCUCAGUUCGGAUUGUAGUCUGCAACUCGACUACAUGAAGCUGGAAUCGCUAGUAAUCGUAGAUCAGCAUGCUACGGUGAAUACGUUCCCGGGUCU
rnacentral:rRNA from 1 species